UCCCUGACAGUUCAGUGGUUAAGACUCUGAGCUCCCAAUCCAGGGGACCUGGGUUCCAUCCCUGGUCAGGGAA
rnacentral:tRNA from 1 species